ACACGCAGCUGCACGUGACUCAGAUCUCAAAUGGUUCCAGCAUUAUGGGUGCAUCACUUCAUGAAAUGGAAAUAAAAUGCUGUGUGCUUCAUUCCUCAAAGCCUUUUUUACAAUAGGACAGAUCACAACUGACAGGAAGUUAAGUGGGAGAGAGAUCGGGGGCGGGAUCAGGAAAGGUCCUAGAGUCAGGAUUCGAACUCGGGAUGACCGUAGCGCAACGGCACUGCAUGACAGCACUCUGCCCUGUAUGAAGGCUAUCGCACAUGCACAUAAUGACAGACCCACCUGCUGGAGGAGCCGGGCAAACUGUGGGACACAAGAACGCCUGGAAGCUCGACGCACAGAGUUCGCUCACCGUCCCCAUAUCUCAACUGUCCCCGUUUCACUUUGAAUAUAAAAGUGCGAUUGUGAGAAAUUCCAAAGCAAAGACCUCUGAAGGCAGCGCAGGUCCACAACGCUGCUCUCCGCUCCACUGUGCGCUGGUCUCGCAAUCUCACUCACUGACUUCUCUCCUUGUAUUGUCUCUCCUUCUUCUCUCUCUCUCUUAGUACUCAC